rnacentral:rRNA from 1 species
UACAGAGGUCUCAAGCGUUGUUCGGAUUCAUUGGGCGUAAAGGGUGCGUAGGUGGCGCUGUAAGUCGGGUGUGAAAUUUCGGAGCUUAACUCCGAAACUGCAUUCGAUACUGCGGUGCUUGAGGACUGGAGAGGAGACUGGAAUUCAUGGUGUAGCAGUGAAAUGCGUAGAGAUCAUGAGGAAGACCAGUGGCGAAGGCGGGUCUCUGGGCAUUACCUGACGCUGAGGAGCGAAAGUGUGGGGAGCGAACAGG